rfam:Ipomoea nil DNA, scaffold: scaffold1525, cultivar: Tokyo-kokei standard.
GUUUUUUUAGCCGAGUGGAUAGGGCAUGUGCCUGCUAAGUACAUGCGUUUUCCCAACGGUAGUCCAAAUCUCUCAAGCAACG